AAAGGACAAACGUUGCCACAGUCUACUAGCUAAUGGUUAGGAUGGAGACUGCUUCGUUGCUGCUGUCAAACCCCAUGUGGAAGAUCAGAAAACGUGGCCAGGAGUUGUGAGAGAAGGCAAUGCAGAGAUGAAGGACAUCAUACCACAAGACUAUUUGUGUGUGUAUAAGCCUGAUCAACAAGUAAAAAGAGUCAGAUCUCUCAAUUGCCAUGAUGACCAAGAUAUUCAACGGGGAAAUGUGGAAAGCUGCCAUAUUCCCAGUCAUUACUUUUCCGAAUCAUCUGUGCAGCAGUAGCAGCAGCACCGAGGAAUCCUACUUUCCUGAGUCCGACACCGAGAGGGCCAUCAAGGACUUCCCUGACUGGCAACAGACUGGAGUAGAGGCUGUAGCAGAGACAGCCGUUUUUUUUUUUUUUUUUUUUUUUACUGAAAUAAUUGACAUUAUGAUGGACAGUGGACAAUAUGAUAAGCAGUACUUGAAUUUGUUCAGUAGUAUUAGUGUGACAAUCAGUUUUUGUUCUCCAACAUGUACAGACUGCUGUUGUGAAGCAGGGAUACACAGCUUAGUCAAAAGAGAGAAAUGCUGUAUAUUUCAGCGACUCCUACAGAUUGAGAAAAAUAAUGACUUUUCUUAAUAAAUAAAUGUUAUUCUUUGCUCAAAAGUGUCUUUAGGUUUAAAUAACAUUAUCCUGAUCCCAUAGGUAACCAAAAAUUGAGAAAGGCUAAGCAAGUGAUUUUUUUUUAAACUGAAACUGGGUGCACAGGUUUACAGACACAUCUCUACUGAUUGGGUAUCACCUAGAACCCAACCAAUAAUUGAGACACACCCACCAAAUGAGAGAAAACAUAACUCAAGCCGUUGCACACCGUUCCAAGGAAACCUGCUGUUUUGACAUUGAAUGUGCCCCAGCUCUUUGAUUGAGAGGAAGCACACAGUUUCAGACUUUAAAAAAACACUGGUUUAAGCUUUUAAUAGUAUUUUUGUACAUUCGCGCUUAGUAUAGACCAAUGUAGGCUAAUUAUCUCAAAAUCUACCUACAUGAUCAAAAGUUUUUUUAUUUUCAGAAUAGCUUUUAAUGUGUUAUAGUGUGCUAUUUUCUAUGAUCAUUUGAACUUGUAUAAAUUGUCUUUGAGUACCCUCAAAAGCGCUUUAUAAAUUGUACAUUGUGCUUGAUAUGUCUGGUGCCCUUCUGAUGCCAUUU